AGUUCAGAACGGCGUGGGGAACGUGCCCUUUGGUACGGAACAACUGAGGGAAACUUCAGCUAAUACCGUAUGUGCCCUUCGGGGGAAAGAUUUAUCGCCAUUGGAGCGGCCCGCGUUAGAUUAGCUAGUUGGUAGGGUAAUGGCCUACCAAGGCGACGAUCUAUAGCUGGUCUGAUAGGAUGAUCAGCCACACUGGGACGGAGACUCUGCCCGGUCCCCUCCAAGCGUCA
rnacentral:rRNA from 1 species